UUCUGGCUCAGGAUGAAUGCUGGCGGCAUGCCUAAUACAUGCAAGUCGAGCGGUAACAGGACUAGCUUGCUAGUGCUGACGAGCGGCGGACGGCUGAGUAACGCAUGGGAACGCACCCCAAACUGAGGGAUAACUAGUCGAAAGAUUAGCUAAUACCGCAUGUGAUCUUCGGAUUAAAGCCUUCGGGCGGUUUGGGAGCGGCCUGUGUACGAUUAGAUAGUUGGUGAGGUAAUGGCUCACCAAGUCGACGAUCGUUAGAUGGUUUGAGAGGAUGAUCAUCCAGACUGGAACUGAGACACGGUCCAGACUCCUACGGGAGGCAGCAGUAGGGAAUCUUUCACAAUGGGCGAAAGCCUGAUGGAAGCAAUGCCGCGUGCAGGACGAAGGCCUUCGGGUUGUAAACUGCUUUUAUAAGCGAGGAAUAUGACGGUAACUUAUGAAUAAGGAUCGGCUAACUACGUGCCAGCAGCCGC
rnacentral:rRNA from 1 species